UAAAUAAAUAAAAUCUACUGAUAAAAGCAUCCUAGUUAAAUUACUACAUGUAUAAUAUACUCAUAAUAAUAUAUAGUAAUAUUGAAUGAAAAUAUUAGGAUACUAUUAAUAAAUCUAUAUUUCCAAAGACCAUACAGUUGACAAGCGUCAAAGAAUGGUAGUUGGAGUUUUGUUUGCAUUCGGCGGGACCGUGAUUGGAGGAUUGAUGUUUUAUGUUUUACCCAAAAAGAAACCAACUCGUCCGAUAAUACUUCUUGGUGCCUUUUGUGGUUUCUGGUCUGGAGUGACUUCCUACUGGAUUAUCAGGAUGAGUGGACGUUUUCUCAGAAAUUCACUCGCAAUCACUCUAGGAGAUUAAAUAUCUUGUAUUUUGUAAAUGACAUAAAUGUAAAUAAAUUCUCAGAUAAUUU